rnacentral:sRNA from 1 species
ACGAUCUCCGACUGGAUCGUGUCUGUCAUGUUUGUUUAGGUAAAACAAAACGAAAAUACAACACACAACCGAUCAAUAUAAUAUAUAAUUGAAGAAAUCGAGAUUGAUCAAACAUCAAUGUACAAUCAUGGCUUCUACCCAAGGACAAGACGUCAUCUUUUAUCAGUUGUGUACCAAUCCCGUAGAACACCAUUGUAACCUUUGUCAUGUUGACCUCUGCUCUUCUUGCAUUCUUAACCACUUGGCGGACAAAACAAACAAACACGAAAUUGUCGAGGUUUAAGUUUAAAAACAGAAAGAAAGGACAUGUUUUACCUGAAUGCAACGCCCACAAGAAAAACCGUUGCGAGUUGUUCUGCAGAGAUUGUCAUGAACCAAUGUGUGUAAUGUGUGUAACAACUACACACAAAAAGCACGACAUUACUGACAUUGAAGAAAUUAUCCAGAAAAGCAAAAAACAAAUAAUGGAUGAUCUUACAGUGCUGGAAAAUGACAUUGCUCCAGCAUACAGAAAUGUUAUGGCAGGUGUACCCUCUGAUGAAUUUGAUAAAGUUCUCUCUGCCAUACAAGAUCAAGAAGAUGCAAUCUGCAAGAUUGUGCGUGACAUAGGCAUUCAAAUGCGUGAAUAGGUUACCAAACAAAUGAACCAAUCUAAGGAGAAUACAGAAACAGAGUCGUUGGCAGCAAGAACUGAAAAGGAACUGAAUGAAAUUAUCUUAAAUAACAGAAGCAUUCUUAACACAUCUGAUGUCACAGCCAUGAUGAGUUAUAAGUCAAAAAAUGAAACAUUUAGGAAAAGUUAUAAUGAAUUAAGACUAUUUUAUCCGAAUUUUGUACCUGGACUAAUCAGAAAAGAACAAAUUGUCAAUAUGUUUGGAGGAUUUCAAAUGAAUAAAACCUCUAAACCAC